rnacentral:rRNA from 1 species
GACGAACGCUGGCGGCGUGCUUAACACAUGCAAGUCGAACGGAAAGGCCCUGCUUUUGUGGGGUGCUCGAGUGGCGAACUGGUGAGUAACACGUGAGUAACCUGCCCUUUACUUUGGGAUAACUUCAGGAAACUGGGGCUAAUACCGGAUAGGAGCUCCUGCUGCAUGGUGUGGGUUGGAAAGUUUCGGCGGUUGGGGAUGGACUCGCGGCUUAUCAGCUUGUUGGUGGGGUAGUGGCUUACCAAGGCUUUGACGGGUAGCCGGCCUGAGAGGGUUACCGGAGAAAAUGGGACUGAGAAACGGACCAGAAUGCAACGGGAGGCAGCAGUGGGGAAUAUUGCACAAUGGGAGGAAGCAUGAUGAAGCAACGCCGCGUGCGGGAUGACGGCCUUCGGGUUGUAAACCGCUUUCGCAUGUGACGAAGCGUGAGUGACGGUAAUGGGUAAAGAAGCACCGGCUAACUACGUG